rnacentral:lncRNA from 1 species
ACACACUGGAGACCCUGUGCUCAAAUACAUGAGCCUGUGGAGGACAUAGCUCAUUUAAACCACAACAGACUGCUAUCUCUAGGGGAUUGCUUUUUAAAUUCCAUAUUUCAAAAGCCGACCUAAAUAGUAUAUUAAUGUGUGGUGGGUUCCGUUUCUUUUCAGAACUAUUACCCUCAUUUCUCCCCUUCUGUGGUAGAAAUGCUUUUCAUUACACCACGGACACUAGACUUUACCCUACAGCUAGUUGUGCUCAGCUAUCCAACUUGCUCUGAUUAAGCAAGUAUUAGUAGCUAUGAGAGGACAGAGACAUGAAGUGUUCUUGUCCCCCUGUCAAGUCCCUCAGAACCCCCUUCUCAUGUUCAUAGGUUCAAGGAAGAGGGUAAGAAGUUGACAUAGGCUAUGUAAGAUUUGAGUUAAAAAUGAAUUGCUUGAAGGCUGGGGAUGUGGCAGAGUGCUGGCCUUGUGUAUUCAAGGUCCCAAGUUCAAGUCCCAGUGCCAUUAAAAGAAGAGCUGCC